rnacentral:pre_miRNA from 1 species
CAACUACUCCCUCUGUCCCAAAUUUCUUGUCUUAGAUCUGUCUAGAUACGGAUGUAUCUAAUACUAAAAUGUGACUUGAUACAUCCAUAUCUAGACAAAUCUAAGACAAGAAUUUUGGGACGGAGGGAGUACUUU